UGGUCAAUAAUUUUAUUAAAAAUUAGUUUCAAACAAACAUUUGCAUAUAUAUUUAUAAAACAUUCGCCCGCCUGGCCUGCCAUAAGUAAUAGGAAAGGAUUUUACGUGGUUUAACCAUAGUUACCCAGUACUCUGGAGAUCUUUUCCCAAUCGAAAUUGUAUUCGUGAAUAAAUCUCCUACCCGAACUCCUGUUACAGUUUAUGCCGGCUAUAUAUAUAUGAAAUUAUCAAUUCAACAAAAAUCACAAAUAAUCAUAAAAAAUAUAAUGUUUCUUUUUGUAAUAUUUUUAAAGACAAUGUUUUUAAGUAAUGAAACAAUUUCACCUGUAACAAAAAGGAAAUUUGUCCUUUCAUAAUUUCAUUACACAGUUUUCUUAAUGAUUUAAAUACCUUUUUAAUCGUUAUAACAGGGAGGAUGGAUGUGACGUCAGAGGAUAUUACGCAUGGUCUUUACUUGAUAAUUUUGAGUGGGAGCAUGGAUAUUCUACUAGGUUCGGCCUGUAUUAUGUUGACUACGACAACAAUCUCGAGCGGU
rnacentral:lncRNA from 1 species